rnacentral:rRNA from 1 species
UACAGAGGGUGCAAGCGUUGUUCGGAAUUAUUGGGCGUAAAGGGCGCGUAGGCGGCCGAUCAAGUCAGAUGUGAAAGUCCUGGGCUUAACCUGGGGACUGCAUUUGAUACUGAUUGGCUUGAAUGCAGGAGAGGAUAGCGGAAUUCCCAGUGUAGAGGUGAAAUUCGUAGAUAUUGGGAAGAACACCGGUGGCGAAGGCGGCUAUCUGGACUGUGAUUGACGCUGAGGCGCGAAAGCGUGGGGAGCAAACAGG